GUGAGCUCUCGGGGCCGGCCCGCUGCUGCCGCCUGAAGACUUCCAGCGCUCUGUGGGCACCGGAAAAUCCGGAGAACAGCGACCAAGCCAAAAGCUUCCACUGGCCGUCAAAGCGAUUCAGCAACUGGCCGGCGUUCAUAUCCAGAUUGCAAGUUUUAAAACGAGAAACUGGCGAAUGCUCGCUCCGUUCGAUGGGAGACAGUAACACUGCCUCUUGGCGGACGGAGGAGGGAUGAUCUUUUAACAUCCAAAUAUCUGAGACCUGUGUGUGUGUGUAGAUCUUAAAAUGAUUUGACGUUUGUGUGAAAAAUGAAUGGGGGUGUCUAUGGAUCCACACAUGCACAUUUGACACGUCACACACAGAAUUGUACAAAUAAGUCAUAAGAUGGGGGGGGGGGUGCUGAUUAAUUUGUGGAUUCGACAGAUAUGACAAUUUUGGAUGCACCCGUGUUACCAAUUUUGACACAAAUCUCUCCCCAUACAUGAUGAACCACAAUGGUUUUGUGCGUCGAGUAAGAUCGGAACUUGUGAGGUCUUUCUGGAGUCAGAAACGUUUAGUAAUCUAGUGUUCCUCUCCAGAAUUUGGAAAACAUUGUCACUGUUGCACUCAAGCCAUACGUACACGCAUUUGAUUGUAGGACAUUAGUAUUGAUUGUGCAAAGCCUUGCGUCCUCGAUUCAAAGUCGUGCAUCAAUCUUUAUACAUCAUUGACGUACUAUUCAUUCAUGCACAUGUUAAUGUGUGUCACAAUGAAGUGCAUCUAUCACACAACAAAAUAUGUCCGACAUAUCAUGCUUGGCAACGACGCUAACGUUUGUGCCGUAAUGCUAACAUGAUGUCAUCAUUUAGUUGGCAAUUUGAUUUACGGUACUUACAUUUCUGGCCUCUCCAGCAGGUUUGAUUGUAGAUAUUGUGCCAGUUUUAAAGGGAUUCUCACCUGCCUGCAAAUCAACUUUUUUGUUUUGUUUGCUGAUAAGACGAAUAAAUGGGGUGAGUACUAAGGCUUUCUUCAGGUCUUGGUCAUUAUUUUGAUAUUUUAGUGAAUGUUUGUUGGGGCAAAAACUGUCUGACUGGCCGCCAUCCUCAGGUGAAUUUAGCUUUCCGUUUUCUGGAUUUGACUUGCAGGGACUCCUCACGUCACUUCCAGAAUCUUGACCCAAUUGCUCUGCCACUGUGCGCUCAGCCUCAUACGCGACUCCAUCGCCGAGUUGGAAUAGUAGCAUUUGUAAAUAUUUUUAGAUCAAUUUUCAGGUUUGUGAUGCAUUAGCAUAGUAUUUGGUUAAUGUAUUUGGCACGUUUUAUGUUCAAACUGAUAAACAUUGUUUUUAGCAAAUAAUCAUGAAACUUAAAGCUGGGACAGGUGCC